AGCUUUUCUUCUACUCUUCGUCUUCCUAGCUUUUCUUUUAUUUCAUUUCGUAAACUUCCUCUCAGUCAUUGCUAAGCUUCUCUACCUAUCGAUCUAUGCUCUCUUUCUCUCUAUAUGUUCUUCCUCUUCCAGUCUCUUGGUACAGUAUAUCGAUUACAUGGAUGGAAGCUGCAUUUUGUGCAUCACUUUUUCAGUUUAGUUUUGAAAUUAGGGCUUUUGAUGCAACUUAAAUGGUUGCAUGGGUUACACAAUGCCCCUACUGAAAAAUCAUGAUGGUUUUCUUUUUGCAUACGAUUAAAUCGCACACAGCCUUUUGUUGGUGUGAGUUUGGGUUGCUACUGAUGGAUAUUUUUUCUUUUGUUUUUUUGGAUUGUUGAGCAUUCUAAUGUUAUUGAUUUUAAUGAUACCCUUAUUUUCCAAUGUAUUUACUUUGUCUUCUUUAUCUUUAUUUUCUUUCUCUUGACUUUGGUUUUAUGCUAUAUGCUACUUUUGUUUGUUAAACUACAUGAAAAAAGGAAUUUUGUAUGUGAUUGGAAAGAAAGGGAAAAAAUGAGGAUAAUUGGUGUUUUGAAAUGUUUGACUUGGCUCUUUUAAUUUGGUUCUUUGAAUUCAUUGUUUCUUAUUGCUUAGUAUACAUUAAUAACAAUCAAGUCUUAUGAUACUUAAGAAAAUACUCAGUUAACAAUUUUAAAAAAAAAGAUACUUAAGAAAAUACUCUAACCUAGGAUGAGUCUGGGAAUGUUUGUUGAAACAAAAUUUUUAUUUUAUUAAUACACUCAAUGGAAGUUAUUUAGUCUCUUGUAAAAUUGUCAGUAAUGGUUUAAAUAACAAGGGGACUUCCUAUUGAUAUACCAGCUUUUCCUAGAGGAAUAAUCUUAGAAGGUGAUAAUUAGGACCGUGAACAUGGGAUUAGAAUAAUUAAAUGGCCUUGUAACAAUUAAAUUUUGCUGAUAGUACAAAAGCUUCUACACACGUGUAACUUUUUUUUUUCUCCCUUCUUUUUAAUGGAUCCACCUGUACAUGUUUUACUUGUCGACAUACAUACAUAUGCACAUGAAUGUGUACAUUGACAGAUAGGAACACUUGCAUGCAUACCCAUCCAAUGUAUGUGUUUGAUGCAGCAAUUAUUGCACGUAAAAAUACGAUAUUGUCUGGUUGUUGAUUUGCGUGUAUACUGAAAAUAUGGAACGAAGUUCGAACAUUGGAAGCAGUAGGUAGUUUAAGGUCAGGUUUUUGUUUUUUGGGGGGGAGGCAUACUGCUAGCAUAGAAUGGUGGACAGGAUUUAGGACAAUGGAAUGAAUUUUUUUGUUUUUGCUUUUUCUUUUUUGAUUGUUAAUAUAGGAUUUGUUUGAACUUUUGCAUUGGGUUUGAGUUGUGGCUGAGCAGUACUCAUGUUUCUUUUUUCCAAACCGUAGUUUUUAAACCUUUUCCCACAAUUUCAUUUUUUGAAGUUGUGCAGAAAACAUCAGAGUCGAUCCAAUAUUAGAAAUUUGAAAGUUUAGUUAGAAAAUCUAUCAUAACGACUACCUACAUUCCACAUAAUUGGGCACCAUAAAUAGCAGCUAAUGAACAGUCCUCCGAUACCAUAGUAACACAUCACAAUCCCUUGUGGAGAAAAAAAAGGAUUUGCUGAGAUGAAAAUAAGGAUAUCAGAUUCCUGCCAAGAUAACUGGAAGUUCCAACCAAUAAGAACCCUAGUGAACCUAAAAAAAGUAUACAGGCCCUACAUAAAUUACUUGUUUUUCGAGAACCUGUUAUAGGUUGUAUCCAUAUACAUUCUGAUCGCUAGUUCAUACUAUAUCCAGUUGCAUUCUAUUGAAAUUGAGACAAGGACAAAAAUUAUUUUACUCUUUUGGAUCCCGGAGUUACUCUCCUCAACUAGCAUUAUCAUGAGUGAACUAUUAGAAACAACUCAUCGAAUCAGUUAGGUAUUAGGUAUAAAUAACCCUUCCUUCAUAUGAUCCCACUAUGUAUGUUUUUACACCAAAUUUUGGUGUGAUUUUGGCCUUUAAGUAGUGAGUAAUGUUUCUCAGGUGGUUUCUACUGUCGUGCUACUUAAUGAUCUGGGAAUGGGGGUUAAAAUUAAUUUUGGUCAAAAUUGUGAAUCUUGACUGAUGCCUGUAUCUUUACACUCAUACUACACUCAUACUCAAUCCUUUGCUGUAGGAGUUACCCCUUUCUUUGUUUAUUCUUUGUUCCUUCUUAAUGAGGAUGACCUCUUAAAUUUUUCUUUUCCAUCCUAAACCUUAAUUAACCCUUCUAAACUAAUUCUUUUGAAAGGACUUACCAAAAAGUAAGGAAAGAAACAUUGCUCAUCCUCUACCCAAUUUCUCUAAUGCAUGACACAUAGAGCCCCCCCUUUCACCAUUUUUUAUGAAAUAAGCCCUUAGGCCCUCAGUUCUUCCUUUUCCCUUGAGUGCUUCUGAACAGAUUUUACGAGCAGUUUCUGAAAUUAAUUUAGAAUAUUUGAUGAAAUACCUUAUUUAUUUAUUUUUUUUGGGCGAGGAAUCGGUGAUACUAUGAAGUUCUGAGGGUUAGGUAUGUGUCUAGUUGUGGCAGUGCACUGUCCAGGCUGUGUUCCUUUCAUUAGAUAUGAUGAAAGUAUGACGAGUAAGAUAUACGAGAUCUUUUUGGUCAAUAAUAAAUUUAGGAUAUACUCGCUGUUAAUAGAGAAGAAGGAUGGAAGAUUAUCACAAGCAUAUAAGGGGGUCAUGGGAGAAUGGGUCUGAAAUCACUUGUGGCCCUUUUCAGGAUAAGGUUUGGCCUUUUACUGGAGGUUUUCUAUGGCUUACUUGAGGGCUUUGUAGCUCAGUUGAGCUUUCAAAGACCUCCCUACGUAACUUCCAAAAGCUAAACUUUACGGCUCAAUGUAAGGCAAUACAAGGGUGGUCCUUCUCUAUUGGUGGUUUGCUUGGAGUGGUGAGCUCUAUUUUGGCCACAUUUUUGUUCUAUGAACACAUUGAACUUUGUUUUAGAAUGCUUUUUUUUUUGGGGGUGCCUCACAACAGUUUUAGGUAAGAUAUUGGGGAUUAGGUGAGCUCAAACGCAAGGGAGCUUUUCCAUGGCUGGAUAGUCCAUGCAGUUUGUUGCUGAACUUACUUAUCAAGGCCUGUAACUGGAGACAGUAACAGAGUAGAGAGCAAUUUAGCCAUAUAUAUCCUCAGUCAUGUCUUUCCCGUUGACUCCCUCCAAGAGACCCUACGAGUGGCAUAAUGAGCCAAAUGGAAGGGACAGAUGGCAUAACACUGUGCAGAACUCUCAUUCAAAAACUCCUUCAGAUUUUACUGUUUUCCGUGUUCUUUGCCUUGCUUCUAAAUCUGGAAGUGUGAUUGGUAAAGGUGGAACCAUUGUUAAUCAUAUACAACAAGCAACUGGUGCAAAAGUUAGGGUUGAGGAUACUGUCCCUGGGUGUGAUGAGAGAGUUGUUGUAAUAACUGGUUCAGAAAAAGAUAGAGAAGCAGGCAAAGAGCCUGGCAAAGAAGACGAGGAAGGUGAAAAUGUUGCUAAUGAUGACAAUGAUGUGAAGAGUAAUGAUGAAGAUAAAGACGAUAAAGAAUCUGAUGAACCCCUUGAUGCGCAAUCUCAACAGGCUAUGUCGUCAGCACAAAAGGCGUUAUUACUUGUUUUUGAGAGAACGGUAGAAGGAGAGCAUGAGAUUGAACAGGAAGAUGAUACGGAUUCUAAGUCAUCUCCAAUUGUCUUCAGAUUCCUAGUGCCGUCAGUCCAGGUUGGCUGUAUUCUGGGGAAAGGGGGAAAUGUGAUAAAACAAAUUUCAGCAGAGAGUGGAGCACAGAUUCGUAUUCUUCAUAAUGACAAGCUUCCUGCUUGUGCUUGGUCUUCUGAAGAAGUGGUGCAGAUUACUGGGGGAUUAGACUCUGUAAGGAAAGCUCUUCAAGCUGUUUCUCAGCAGCUUCAGGAGAACCCGCCUCGUGAUCGUGAUCCAUUUCCCCCAAACAAGCCUUCAGGACCACCCCCUCAUUUGUUUGGUUCAAAUUCUCACUCAGAUCUCUUACCUCCCUCAAACUAUCAUUUCUCUGGUCAAGGGGGUCCAUACCCCCCUGUGCGGGGUGAUGACGGUGGCUAUCUAUCGGGUGCUCCUCCACCAAUCCCUAAAUUUUAUGAUGGUUUUAACUCCAGUAGAAUGAAAUCAACCCCUGAAAUACUUACAUUUAAAUUGUUAUGUAUGAAUGAGAAGGUUGGAGGUGUGAUAGGAAAAGGGGGUUCCAUAAUUAGAGCACUCCAAAAUGAGACUGGGGCUGAGAUCAAAAUUCUUGACAGUGUACCUGACUCAGAGGAUCGUGUAAUAGUCAUAUCAGCACCAACGCAUCCAGACGAUAGAAUUUCUGCUGCACAGGAUGCUGUUCUUCGCGUGCAGAGCAGGAUUUUUAAAGCAGCACCUGACAGUAAAGAAAAAAACUUGGUCUGUAAGGUUCUGGUACAUUCCAAUCAGAUAGGUUGCUUACUUGGGAAGGGUGGUGCCAUAAUAGCAGAAAUGCGCAAGUCAUCUAGGGCACACAUUCGUAUAUUGGCUAAGGACCAGAUCCCAAAAUGUGCUUCGGAUAAUGAAGAAGUCGUUCAGGUAACUGGAGAAUUUGAGGCUGUUCAAGAAGCUCUAUUGCAGAUCACAUCCAGAUUGCGCCAACAUCUUUUCCGCGAUAGAUUCCAAUCGAUUAUCAACCAUCCACAUCAUCCUGCUUUCAUAGAACAAGUACCACCUCCAGUACCUCCAUAUAUGGGAAGGAGACCUCCUUCACCUCCUGGGAUGUAUUCCCAUAUGGGUCCUUCAAUCCACAAGUUUGAUCUUCCUCCCAACAUGGAUCAUCCUGGCUUUCCACAUGGAAUUCAGAAGCCAGGAUUCCCUCACAGUUCUGAAAGAAUGCCACCUCCAGCACCAUGGGCACAUCAGGGUAUUGGUGGGAGUGGGAGUGGGAGUGGCAGUGGGCGUGAGACUGGCCUACCUGAUUAUGACAGGGGGUUUACUCAACGGAGACCAGAUGGCGUAGGAAGUCAAUCAGCGAUUAUCACUAGCACAACUGUAGAAGUUGUUGUUCCUCGAGCUGUUGUUCCCACAAUUUAUGGAGAGAAUGGAGAAUGCCUGAAAAAAAUACGUCAGAUUUCAGGUGCUAAUAUUACCAUCACAGAACCCAGACAUGGGGCCAAGGAGACUGCGGUCAUAAUUUCUGGAACACCUGAGCAAACAAAUGCAGCACAGAGUCUUCUUCAGGCAUUUGUCUUGAGUGGGCAGGGAUCUCCUUGAACUGAGAGGACCAUAAACAGUGGCAUGGGCAAUUACGACACAGCAUUUGGCUUGACAAUGGGUAUGGAAGUGGAGGUCUGCUUGUUGAAGGUUUCUGAUUAUGCAGGGAGUCCAACAUGUUUUUGCAUGGCUUGGGUCCCUCUCUCACAGGAAGGAUUUAAGUUUUGGACGAACUUCAUAUUCAUGAAGGACGCAGCUGAAAGAGAUGUCCAAGAAAAAGUUGAGGUGCAGUUUGUAUUGUGAAGAAAGAAAAAAGACAUUUUCAAGAAAGACAACCAUGUUCUAUGUAAUUCCUUAGGUGAGCGUAAAACUACACCGCUCUCUUGCCUAGAACCUAUAUGGCCUUGUCUACAUGACGCAACACUUGCCGAUUUAAAGUCUUUAAUUGGUGACAGCACCUUUAAGUAUUUUACAGCUGCUUUCUUUCCUUGGUAUGCCCUUUGUCCAUCUAUGACAGUGGCAACUAAAUAAUCCACGUAAGUUUUUUAUUAAUGAGCAAAUCCAUGUGAAAUAUUAGAUAUAUUUCUUGUGUGGAAAAUAUAUUACACCUUCAACCAUUAAGUAUUUUACAACUACUUUCUUUCCUUGGUACGCCCUUUGUGUAUCUAUGACAGUGGCAACUAAAUAAUCCAUGUAAGUUUUUUCUAAUGAGCUAAUCCAUGUGAAAUAUUAGAUGUAUUUCUUGGAUGUUGCCAUGGUCCUGAGCCGGAGUCAGAGUCCAACUUGUCCAAGUCGUACUGUCUGACUUGGCUGAGUUUCAAUAAUAUUAUAUAAAAAAAUUGAUUCUUGGAUCAGACUUGUCUGGUUUUCGGAGUUAAUCAUCAGCACCUGGCACCCUGCCGGCUAUGAGUGACUCAUGCGAGUUCAAGUCCAUCUUUAAAUCACUGCAUAGGGAUAAUAUUUCUCAUAGAGCUGAUGCAUCUCCCGAAUACAAUUUAUCCUCAGAUACUUGUAUGUAUUUGGUGUACUAGUAUGAUAGUAUUGGCAUUAGUAUGAUAGUAUCGACAUGCUACAACACUGAUACCCACAUUGGAUACUCUUGGAGUUCAUAUUAGUAACAAAAUGGCAGAACAACAAAGUAUAGUGUUCGUAAAUUAUACCAACCUGUAAAAGAAUAGGAUAUAACUGAAGUUUUCAUAUGUUUAUGGCAAAACAGAUAAGAUCAUAUACCACAACUCCAGGCGGAUAACAUUCAUGUCCUUGCUAUGCGUCUUGCAUGAUGCUCCCUACAGCAUAAAAUGUCAUAGAUAUGGAAUAUCAUAUGAAUGUUUUGUCCUUGUGUCCAAUGAUAUGUUCUUACAAUUAUAAGCAUAUGUGAAGAACAUGCAAUAUGAUAUCUUAAAAAAUGUAAUAUUAGUGUGAGAUUCAUAGACAUUUCUUUUCUUGAUUGGUUUGGUGGUGGCAUUCAAUGGAUCUUAGUACUUAAUAGAAUAUACCAUGACUAUGUUUAUCAUUGCUGUGUAACAAAAAAAAACAUGUUUAUCAUUACUAUUUAUGUUUGUCUCAAGUAGGAUAUCAUGUCCCAAUCUGUGUCUUGGAUUUUGGGAAAUGGUGAGUCAUAUCCCAAUUCCCAUGUGCAUAUCCAUGUUCUUGUCUCCUUUCUGAAUUUGGGCAAUACUGCCACACCUCCGAACUUACCUGAUACCCAAAAGUCACACCUUUGAAGCAUGGACUCUUUUGCAAAUUGUGCAUGCCUGCAAUGCAUGUUCUGUAUAUUAUACAACUUCAUGCGUGUUUGAGUACAAGCAGUGGAUGUUUUAUGUUCUGAUCAAUAAAAUUCUACAGUUUGGUGUUUGACAAUUUUCACAAACAUAUCCCAAUGUAGAUUAAUGGAUCUCAAAGAUGCCACAUAACCAUUAGUUGACUAGUCUAUUCGGACAAUUAUGUGGAAUCCAGAUUCCACAAUAUCAAAUCCCAAUGUUUAUACCUACCUGUGAUUCGAUCAACAUGGAGUCUAGCUUCCACUUUCUGGGAAUAUUAAUCUAAAUUAGUUGGAAUCCAAAAAUGAAUUCCCAAGUGGAUCAUGCUAACACGCUUUAACAAGUCUUGGGUUCAAGUUGAAUUUUGUUAUUCUAUGGAAACUUCAUUAUUCCAUAGCAGAAUGAUUGCUAAAAUAUCAUGGAAUGCUUGAAGUUUUGUAAAUAUUAUUUGAAAGAAGGUAAACUUCAUUAUUCUCUAGUGGUAAAAUGAUUGCAAAAAUAUUAUGAAAUGCUUGGAAAAUUUAAAACUUUGUUUGAAACAUGCUGUUCCUUAAAAUUUAUUAUAAAUUAUAAAUUAUAUUUUCUUUGAAUUUCUUUAUUCAAAGAGGAUGAGUGUCAUGAAACUCGACUUAACAUCAAGAUGGGUGUCUAGAAACUCUACUUAAUAUCGGUCCUAAAGUCUGGAACCCAAAAUAAAACUGUUAUUUUUUUCAUAGUUUUAUUAUUAAAUAAAAUAAUUUUACUUUCUUUAUUCAAUCUAGGAACUCUAACCUCAACUCUAUUGCUUAGUUAAGGGCACUUGGUGACCUUGAUUCCAAUACUUGUUGAAACCUGUGAUUAAGGGCACUCAAUAUAUCAAUUUCAUCGCUAGGGUAGAUCUUCAAACCUUUUGCGUUAUGGAACUCUGGUUCUAAGUGGUUGGAGCGUGAUUCCCAAAAUGUAGCAAUCUCGAUUCCUGAGAUAGGCAUUGUACGGACAGCGUUGCCUACCAUAGGAAGCUUCUAGCCUCUUGCUAUUCCUCACUUCCGAUUCCUAAAACUCUCCCGGACCUGGAUUGCUCCCAUUUCCAACAAGUAUGCAUUCAACCCUUGGAGAUUUUGUUUCUGCUAUGUUGAGACAAGAUCCCAAGCCCCAUUUUAAUUAUUAGGGAUUGUGUAUGCCAAAUUUAGUAUGUGAACUUGGUUUUCACUUGCUUAUGGGUUGACACACCUCUCUGUGGUGUGGAUUUAUAACUUCUCAAGUUUAAUGCAUCGGGAAAAUUGCUAAUGUUCAGUGUCUACGUUGAGUAUGUUAGAGAAUAUGAUGUGGUUCUUGAAGAAAAUGCUUUUUUGUGUGACAAUUAGGAAAGAAGUGUGAUUUCUCCGGGGCAACUUGAUCGGUAAUGGACGUAGGGGUCAUGGCUUGGUGGUCAUGGCAUUCGGACAAUGUCCAAGGAUUGAAUCCCACAGUUAACCUAGGCAAAUAUUGAGAUCUGAAUCUGAGCUUGCUUAGGUUCCAUUAGUUCGAGUUUGGAGUAUAUGCUGAGAUGGAGAGAUCAUUUGAAUUCGUUAUUUGGGAUUUUGGAGUAUAUGUUCUAGUUUUUGGAUAAUUAAAUGUUCUGUAACAUGGCUAUAAUUCUACAGUUGUGGAGGUUUGGGUGCUUAGGAGAUGGAGGGAGGUUGGACAUGUUGUGUGACGCUUUUUCUUGCCUGUAUGUUUUCAAUUGUUUGAGGUAUGCCAUGUCAAUCUGAACACCAAAAAACAAAAUUUGGUACUGCAUGUUACUGAUACAGCCAGUUGUUUUGUUAAUCAUGGGCCCUGCGGAAAAUUUUACUUUGAGAUGGUGGCUUCCUAGGAAUUCUUGUAAUCAGUUUGGCCACAAAAUUUGUAUAGGAAGCGAAGUUGGUUCAAGAAUUAUUUUAGAAGGCAACAAGACGAUAGAAAAGGUUGAUGUGAAUGAUUGUAUUUGAAUGGGAGGCCAUUGAAAAUGUUUGGACGUCACUGAGAGCAUGGUUACUAGGCUAUUCCUUCUAAGGUGGCACUUCAGCUCAAGGAAUGCAGUCUGCGGUUUGGGAAUGGGCACAUUUUGCCAUUGCGUUGCCAUUCUAUCGGAACUCAUUCCCUCUCUAGUUGAAAAUUCCUUGCACUAAUGUUGUUGAGGUCCGCUUCUCUCCUUUUGUUUGCUCCAUUUUUAGACCUACAUAAUGCAUUAGAACAUAAACUUUUGCUUUUUAGGAAGUGGGGUCAUUUAUUGCCCAAAAAAAGAAAGAAGGGAGAUCGUUUGCAUUCUAGAUCAAAUUUGGAAGGGAUGUGAAUAUCAAUAUCCUUUUUCUUAUUUUUUAUGUUUAUCCUAUUUUUAAAUUUGUCUUUCUCAUUUUUUUUGUGUGGAUGCUUCCCAUGGUGCUCUGUGACUAACCAUGGAGCUUUUGGCAAGCAAUAGUUAUCUAAAACUAAUUGUAGGACGAGAGGCAUGGAGAUAACGACUUGAUAUGAUGGAAAUUUGUGGUGAUGGAAAUAGGCCGUUAUCACAUGGCCGCAUUUACCGUCGGCUGUGAUAUUAUGUUUCCAUUGGAAUUUAUCAAAAUAUAACUAACAUUUCAAUUA